GGGGACACAUUUGAAGUCUCGGAGCCGGGUGUUGGUUCCGGUAGCGAUCGAGGGAAACUAGUACCGAAGUCAGGGAUGGAAGAUGGCGAGAAAAGCUGUGUGUAUUUCUGCGGUGCCCGUACCGCAAACCGACACAGGUAGGUAGGAAGAAGAUUCUAAGGCCAACGGGAGAAGGGUUGUUAAGGAACUCGGCAAAUUGACCCCGUAACUUCGGGAGAAGGGGUGCUCCAGAGAUGGAGCCGCAGAGAAUCGGCCCAAGCAACUGUUUACCAAAAACACAGGUUUGUGCUAAAUCGAAAGAUGACGUAUACGAGCUGACGCCUGCCCGGUGCUGGAAGGUUAAGAGGAGAUGUGCAAGCAUUGAGUCGAAGCCCCAGUGAACGGCGGCCGUAACAAUAACGGUCCUAAGGUAGCGAAAUUCCUUGUCAGGUAAGUUCUGACCCGCAUGAAAGGCGUAAUGAUUUGGGCACUGUCUCGUCAGCCCGCCCGGCGAAAUUGUAGUACCGGUGAAGAUGCCGGUUACCCGCGACAAGACGGAAAGACCCCAUGGAGCUUUACUGUAGCCUAAUAUUGGGUUUCGAUGUUGCAUGCACAGGAUAGAUGGGACACUGGGAAGCAAGUGCUUUGGCAUUUGUGGAGUGGCCGUUGGGAUACCAUCCUUGCGAUAUUGGAAUUCUAACCUGCGCCUUUGAAUCAAGGCGGGGGACAUUGUUUGGUGGGCAGUUUGACUGGGGCGGUCGCCUCCUAAAGAGUAACGGAGGCGUUCAAAGGUUCGCUCAGCUUGAACGGAAAUCAAGCAAAAGAGUGCAAACGCAGAAGCGAGCCUAACUGCGAGACUGACGGGUCGAGCAGUAACGAAAGUUGGAGUUAGUGAUCCGGUGGUAUGUGAGUGGAAAUGCCAUCGCUCAACGGAUAAAAGUUACCCUGGGGAUAACAGGCUGAUCUCCCCCAAGAGUCCACAUCGACGGGGAGGUUUGGCACCUCGAUGUCGGCUCAUCGCAUCCUGGGGCUGUAUUCGGUCCCAAGGGUUUGGCUGUUCGCCAAUUAAAGCGGUACGCGAGCUGGGUUCAGAACGUCGUGAGACAGUUCGGUCCCUAUCUGUCGUGGGCGCAGGAUAUUUGAUGGGAGCUGUUCCUAGUACGAGAGGACCGGAGCGGACGUACCUCUGGCGCACCAGUUGUUCUGCCAAGGGCAUAGCUGGGCAACUAUGUACGGAUCGGAUAAACGCUGAAAGCAUCUAAGCGUGAAGCCGACCCAAAGAUAAGAUAUCCCAUUGUUUCAAACAAGUAAGACCCCUUGAAGACUACAAGGUUGAUAGGCACGAUGUGUAAGUGGAGCGAUCCAUUCAGCAAGCGUGUACUAAUAGGUCGAGGGCUUGAC
rnacentral:rRNA from 1 species